GCUGGAAUCGAGAGAGAGAGAGAGAGAGAGAGAGAGAGAAGAGAAACCACCUUCUCGCACUCGUGUAAAAUCUUCCUUCAAACUUUCCUUUCAGUUGGCUUCUUUUCUUUCACAGCCAUCUUUUUUCUUCUUCUUGUUCUUUUUUU
rnacentral:ribozyme from 11 species